GCCAGUGAUGGUAGCCACCCAACUGAACAACUUUCAAUGAAAUAUAGUGACAAUUAAUGCACUAACUAUUUUUUAGCAGUAUUUUUUAUACUAAUAAAUAGUAUAUUCAAAUGGAAGUUGAAACCACUUCAAUAAAGUCCUUACUGAUGGUAAAUAUUAGUCAAAUGCUCUCAUCGAUGCCGUUUAAAACUUGACGCAAAAUAACAAUGAAAACUAUCCUCAUAAGGAUAAAAGCUAACACAAGGAAAACAAGUUACAACAUCCAUGACCAGAGAGAAUCAAAAUUUUUCCCAUUAAAAGGGAAAAUUUAUCAUUAACUAAAAUGAGGUUCAAUAUUCUAUGGAUGAAAAUAGAUGAUCUUACUCGCUAAUUGCAGCACA
rnacentral:misc_RNA from 1 species